ACGGGAGGCAGCAGUGGGGGAUAUUGCACAAUGGGGGAAACCCUGAUGCAGCGACGCCGCGUGAGUGAUGAAGUAUUUCGGUAUGUAAGGCUCUAUCAGCAGGGAAGAUAAUGACGGUACCUGACUAAGAAGCCCCGGCUAACUACGUGCCAGCAGCCGCGGUAAUACGUAGGGGGCAAGCGUUAUCCGGAUUUACUGGGUGUAAAGGGAGCGUAGACGGCAUGGCAAGUCUGAUGUGAAAACCCGGGGCUCAACCCCGGGACUGCAUUGGAAACUGUCAGGCUAGAGUGCAGGAGAGGUAAGUGGAAUUCCUAGUGUAGCGGUGAAAUGCGUAGAUAUUAGGAGGAACACCAGUGGCGAAGGCGGCUUACUGGACUGUAACUGACGUUGAGGCUCGAAAGCGUGGGGAGCAAACAGGAUUAGAUACCCUGGUA
rnacentral:rRNA from 1 species